GCGAAGCCGCGGGGCGCGCCCCCUACGCUUCUGGGCGCCCCUCGGGCCGGCGCCCCUGGAGUCUCCUCAUGUGUUUCACAAUAUACGACCCCUCUCGUCGCCACUUCAGCGUUGGGGCUGAGGCGCAGGGGUGACGUACUAGGGUACUUUCUGGACGCGAGAGGGUUAAAGGCAAGGCGACAAUACAAAUAUAAAAGGUGUGAAGACUGCAGUCUUACUGUCCCUCUGUGAGACUUUAGCAUAGCAUGAAUUGUGUGGUAAUGGAAAAUCAAACGCUGUUCAUAUCUGCCUGGAGUUGCAUGAAAAUAUCAAAGGUUUGAUGGGAAGGAAAAAAGAAAGGAGGUGCCAGGUGUGUUAUCCCACUUCUUUUUCAUCACACUAAGUCAGGAGCUGCUGGGUGGCUGGACCACAUUCCAUUUAGUCUCUUCCUUGGAGAGAAUCCUCCCUCACGACAGACACUUAGGAAGAGAAAGCUAGUCUAAUGCUGGGAGCGACUUCAGCACGUGUCAGCCGGCUCACCUGGGUCUGUCAAGGAGCACAACUUCUCUGUGCCAGGAAGGCCAGUGAGGUUCAAGGGUGGUGCACUUCGUCGACCUACAGACAGAGAAAAAGGAGCAAUGGAGAGCAUGAAGAGGAACAAGGGGUCUCCCAACCUAAAUACAGGGAGUGAGGAAGCCUAACACCAGCCUAGGAAGCAACAAAGAAUAACUGA